CGGCUGCCCAUGGAGCUGAUCUUCCUUGGCAAACGAUGACUGCCCUCCUCGGAUGUAGUUUGGCUAUGGGCAACAAACGUCGCACGUUUUACUUGUGACAGCUCGGUAUUCAGUGGUAGUUUAAGGUGCGUUCGUGAGUGCGCGUUUACGAUGGGUAGUCUUUGUCAGUGAUGGGUAUUCAAGCUAUUGAAUUGAUCAUCCGUGUGGACGAUGUUAUCUUGACCGAUAGGUAAAUAGUGAAGAUAGAAAUAAACGGCUGAUCGCCAAAUUAGGUGUGGCCUGGUGAAUUAAUCGAAAGGAAAACCUCAAGUCAUGAGUUAGUUUUAUGAACUACAGCUAUGAAAAUGAAAUGUAAGUUACUAUAGUCGUCCAGAAUUCGUGGAAGGUAAUAUUUUUUAAACUUAAAAUCUUGAUUUAGCUAAACAUGCGCAUUUGAAUUACGUUCAGUAGCAACUUGGCUUGUCUGGGGCUUUUUUUUUGUGGUAGAUCUGGGUACCUAUCCGCGGCGGCCUAGACUAUGGCAGUUGCGGUUUUUCUACGCAGUUUUACCUACUGAACAAGAAUUUUAAGUAAU